rnacentral:rRNA from 1 species
AGCAGCCGCGGUAAUUCCAGCUCCAAUAGCGUAUAUUAAAGUUGUUGCAGUUAAAAAGCUCGUAGUUGAAUUUCGGAAUUUUUUUAUCGGUUGAAUCAACAGGUUCGUACUGAUUUUAAGAAUUUCUACCUUCUGGAGAACCUUAAUGUCAUUUAUUUGGUGUUUUGGGAAACCAGGACUGCUACCUUGAAAAAUUAGAGUGUUUAAAGCAGGCUUAUGUCUGAAUAUAUUAGCAUGGAAUAAUGAAAUAGGACGGCAUGGUUCUAUUUUGUUGGUUUCUAGGAUCACCGUAAUGAUUAAUAGGGAUAGUUGGGGGCAUUAGUAUUCAAUUGUCAGAGGUGAAAUUCUUGGAUUUAUUGAAGACUAACUUCUGCGAAAGCAUUUGCCAAGGAUGUUUCCAUUAAUCAAGAACGAAAGUUAGGGGAUCGAAGACGAUCAGAUACCGUCGUAGUCUUAACCAUAAACUAUGCCGACUAGGAAUCGGACGAAGUUAAUUUUUAAUGACUCGUUCGGCGCCUUA